rnacentral:piRNA from 1 species
UAAAAGCUGGCAUCCAAGAUAGGAGUUUGGCC